AUGGCUCCUGUAGCUAUAGGGACUCUCAGUUCAUCACUCUUCACAGCCACCGUCCUCCUCACUUUCUUGACCUCUUUUGCCCCUGCUUCUUCAUUUGAUGGCACCACGCUGGGUGAUGAAUCUGGUAAGGACUUCCAAGCGCUCCUCUGUCUCAAGAACCAUCUCUCUAACAACACCGAAGCCCUCGCCUCGUGGAACAAUACCCUUCAGUAUUGCACUUGGCCUGGUGUCACCUGUGGCAAGAAGCACGCAUCUCGCAUCACAAUACUUGACCUUGAAUCUCUUAGUUUGAACGGCCAAAUACCACCCUGCAACGGUAAUCUCACUUUCCUCGCGAGAAUCAACCUCCAGGAUAACCUGCUGAAUGGUGGGAUCCCGCCAGAGAUUUAUCUUGAUAGCAACGUGCUCCACGGAAGCAUUCCGGAUGGGUUCGGCAUGCUUCCUAAGCUUUCAGUUAUGUAUGUUCCAAGCAACAAGUUAACGGACAAGAUUCCUUACUCACUUGGAAGCAGCUCAUCACUCUACUAUGUCGUCCUGGCAAACAACAGCCUAACUGGAGGCAUCCCACCUCUCUUAGCAAAUAGUUCAUCACUUGAAUGGCUGGACUUGGGAAGCAAUGACCUCGACGGAGAGGUACCUCCUCCUCUCUUCAACAGCUAG
rnacentral:rRNA from 1 species